AUACCUGAAUGUGAUGCACACUAAGGCAGAGAUUCUAAGCUGGCAAUAGGAAAGUAAUCUGGCUGCCUGCCAAAGCAGGUGCCAAAAAAACAAAUCGUUAUUGCCAGGGAAGACAGGCAUUCCUGACUGCAUAAAAAGGAACCAAAUGGAAUAACAACUCUUCUCUGUCCUAGAACUGAAGCAGGAGAAAACGCCUUCCCCCCAGAAUCCUGAGCACUGUAAGAGGCAUCUUAAAAAAGAGGCAUCUAAAAAUCACAGCUGGAUGCAUCUGUCCUCCUUUCUCUACACAAAGUGAAUUCUGAAGCCAGAAUGAAGGCCAGCUGAAGGAGCAGUAUCAAACUGAAACCACAUUUUUCCCCCCUCACCUAUGGCUGCAAAAUAAACCACAGGCAAGAUUCUGAGCUUCCUGAACACAUCUGCUGUUGACAGACACUGGGAAAGGGAUGCUCAAAAGCCUAUUUCAGUCUUCUCAAGAGGCACCACUGACACAAGGCCUCCUCAACAGUUUUGUCUCCAUAAAACUCCAUCUUAAUUUUAAUUUCCUCCAUUAAACUAAGAAAAAUUUAGGUGCCAUUAGUGCUUCAAAAUACUGUUCUGUUUUAGCAUAUGAAAUUUGGCCAUUACUACAAUAUUAUUCUGUUUUACUUUGCAACUAUAAGAAAAUAAGGCCUGAAGGUGUUUAUAGAUGGAAAUCACAGUUUAUUGGAAUAAAUAGGGAAUAUGAGAAUGUACUUUUAAAACAUAAGAGUUGUCCAGAGUCUUAGAGAAUAAACAAGAAAAGCUGCAAGGCAGAGAUUUUUUAAAUAGUUUGCUAAAAGCAAUUCCUUCUUCAUUUAUGUACUACUUAAAACAAUUAAUAAAGGUAAAUAUUUAGCUACUGUAUAUAUUUCAUAAUACUUUGCAUCACUUUGAAAUAAAAUGAGUGCUCCAUGUUCCACAAAUCUGAUUUAAACAAAGAAAAAUUAAUAGAGACUUCAUCUACAACAAAUGUAUCAUCUCUUCAAAGAAAAUUUUAGUGUUAGAAAGGGGAUAGGAGCCAAGCUAUAUAAAUUACAGUCUCAAAAUCAAAGCUAUUUAAUCUUGCCUUCAUACAGGCUCAUAAAAAGUAAAUACCACCAAAAUACGAACCUCAAAACGGGGUGUGUUGACCUUCCAGGCUGUUCCUUUGUGCAUGAGUGGUGUUGCUCCCACCAACACCUGCUCAUCCCCUUUUCCAAUAUGACCCCCAAGCACACGGAUUAGCAAAGGUAAAUAUGAAAUCUGCACUAUUUCUGAAAGAGUUUUGUGCAAGCAGGCUCUAUCUCCAGUGCACACAGGUGUAAGUGCUCGAUAAACAGACCCACAGCUGCCACCAGCUUGGAGUGUACAGACAGAGAAGUUUUUUGAGUAUUUAACAGUCACCUGAGCAACCAGCACAAAACACCUCUGAAGCUGACAGUGCUCAAAGCUGCCCUUGGUGCUGCCUGGAAUUAAAAACCACGUGAGGCUCAUUUAGAGCACCUUCCCUCAGACUUGCAGCUGCCAGAGCAAGGCAGGUGUGAUGUGGUGAGCACAUCUGAAGUGUCACCUUCUGCCAUCAGCUGGGGCCCUUCAGUUUUGCCUUACUGCAAGUUAGUGUCACUGAGCCAGGGGGAAUUUGGCCACUGAGAAUUGUGUUCUACAAUAUCCUGGUUGCCUUGUCACCAUCAGCCAGUAUUUUUUCUGUAUUCCCAAAAUUCGGGUUUAGAGGUGAGAGUUUCAGAGAUGUUUCUAACAGGGGGUUCAUUAUUCAGGAGAAAUUUGGGGCAGAGUGAUUUAUAGUCCUAUUAUGUGCAGCAAGAGGAGGAAUAUUUAUCUCUGCUCUUUCAGUGAGGAUGGCAAUGGGGAGGAGAAAGGUGGCAAUAUCUUCUGCCAAAACUAAAUAACAGCUACACAAAGUCCACAAAUCAGGCAAGGUUAUAGUUUCAGGUGAUUCUCACCCCCGAGUUGGUCUCAAAUGACAGACACCAAGAAUGUUUUACUGUCAACAGAAUGAUACCUCUGGUAUGCAGAAGUUCUGCUGCUUUCUCAGCUAUGCUGCAAUGA